GUUGUCAACAUCAUCUGCUCACGCCCUCCCCCCUGCAGCUGGCUGAGCUCUUUGCAGACAGAGACAGGGACAAGAAUCAUCCGUCAGAAAGCUCCAGGCUCAUCGCAGCAGCUUUUGCAUUUUUAUCUCAGCAAGGAACCUGUCCAACUUUACUUUCUCCACCCUUCUUAUGUCCGAGGGCUUGGUUUCCUCAGCCAGUUUCCUGUCUGCUCAGGGGAGAUUUUCCUGAGAAGAGCCCACUGCCUUUCUACUGCUCGGCCAUGUUCCUGCUGCUUAUCUCAACACUGGGGAUAUUUGCCCCGCGCGACACCGGAGCCCAGUCAGUGACGCAGCCUGAUGUCCAUGUCACUGUCUCUGAAGGAGCCCCUCUGGAGCUGAGGUGCAACUAUUCCUCAAGUGGAAUUCCUUAUCUCUUCUGGUACAUGCAGCACCCCAACCAAGGACUCCAGGUUCUACUGAAGUACUUUUCAGGGGACACCCUGGUUAAAGGCAUCAAAGGUUUUGAGGCUGAAUUUAAGAACCAUGAAACCACCUUCCACCUGAGGAAAUCCCGAGCCCUUGGCAGCGAUGCAGCCAAGUACUUCUGUGCUGUGCGUGACACAGUGUCUGGGACUGCAGGGGGAGCUGAACACAAACCACCAUGGUAGGGGAGUUUUUGGAGACUGACGGUCUCUUCCUGUGGUAUUAUCAGAGAUCUCUUGCUGUAUGAUGCCAAAUGAGGCAAAUAGAGCUGA